CCUACGGGUGACAGCAGUGGGGGAUAUUGCACAAUGGGGGAAACCCUGAUGCAGCGACGCCGCGUGAGUGAAGAAGUAUUUCGGUAUGUAAAGCUCCAUCAGCAGGGAAGAAAACGACAGUACCUGACCAAGAAGCCCCGGCUAACUACGUGCCAGCAGCCGCGGCAACACGUAGGGGGCAAGCGUUAUCCGGAUUUACUGGGUGUAAAGGGAGCGUAGACGGUUAUGUAAGUCUGGAGUGAAAGUCCGGGGCCCAACCCCGGGAAUGCUUUGGAAACUGUGUAACUGGAGUGCAGGAGGGGCAGGCGGAAUGCCUGGUGUAGCGGUGAAAGGCGUAGAUAUCAGGAGGAACACCGACGGCGAAGGCGGCCUGCUGGACUGAAACUGACGUUGAGGCUCGAAAGCGUGGGGAGCAAACAGGAUUAGAUACCCCAGUAGUC
rnacentral:rRNA from 1 species